AUUGAACGCUGGCGGCAUGCUUUACACAUGCAAGUCGAACGGUAACAGGCCGCAAGGUGCUGACGAGUGGCGCACGGGUGAGUAAUGCAUCGGAACGUGCCCAGUCGUGGGGGAUAACUACUCGAAAGAGUAGCUAAUACCGCAUACGAUCUAUGGAUGAAGGCGGGGGACCGUAAGGCCUCGCGCGAUUGGAGCGGCCGAUGUCAGAUUAGGUAGUUGGUGGGGUAAAGGCUCACCAAGCCAACGAUCUGUAGCUGGUCUGAGAGGACGACCAGCCACACUGGGACUGAGACACGGCCCAGACUCCUACGGGAGGCAGCAGUGGGGAAUUUUGGACAAUGGGCGCAAGCCUGAUCCAGCAAUGCCGCGUGCAGGAAGAAGGCCUUCGGGUUGUAAACUGCUUUUGUACGGAACGAAACGGCUCUGGUUAAUACCCGGGGCUAAUGACGGUACCGUAAGAAUAAGCACCGGCUAACUACGUG
rnacentral:rRNA from 1 species